rnacentral:pre_miRNA from 1 species
NNNNNNUUUUUUUAUAAUUAGUAUUUUUAUUGUUAUGAGAUGAUAAAACAUGAAUAGUACUUUACUCGUGACUUAUGCUUUUAAAUUUUUUCAAAUCUUUUUCAAAUAAGACGGACGGUCAAAGUUGGGCGCGGAAACCAUGGCUGCACUUAUA